GAUGAACGCUGGCGGCGUGCUUAACACAUGCAAGUCGAACGGAAAGGCCCAAGCUUGCUUGGGUACUCGAGUGGCGAACGGGUGAGUAACACGUGGGUGAUCUGCCCUGCACUUCGGGAUAAGCCUGGGAAACUGGGUCUAAUACCGGAUAGGACCACAUUUUGGAUGGUGUGGUGGAAAGUUUUUCGGUGUGGGAUGAGCUCGCGGCCUAUCAGCUUGUUGGUGGGGUAAUGGCCUACCAAGGCGUCGACGGGUAGCCGGCCUGAGAGGGUGUACGGCCACAUUGGGACUGAGAUACGGCCCAGACUCCUACGGGAGGCAGCAGUGGGGAAUAUUGCACAAUGGGCGCAAGCCUGAUGCAGCGACGCCGCGUGGGGGAUGACGGCCUUCGGGUUGUAAACUCCUUUCGCUAGGGACGAAGCGUUGUGUGACGGUACCUGGAGAAGAAGCACCGGCUAACUACGUG
rnacentral:rRNA from 1 species